rnacentral:misc_RNA from 1 species
AAGAACCUAGUAAUAUUAGACUUGGUCUUGCAACGGGUGGUUUUAGCCCAUUCGGUAACAUUAGCACAUCAUAUAGCAUGUGGUCUGUCAUUCUUGCUCCUUAUAAUCUACCUCCUUGGAAAUGUUCUAAGGACCCAUUUAUGAUAAUGCCAUUGCUUAUUCUUGUCCUCAAGCACCAGGAAAGAUAUUGAUGUUUAUUUGCGU